UACAGAGGGUGCAAGCGUUAAUCGGAAUUACUGGGCGUAAAGCGUGCGUAGGUGGUUCUUUAAGUCAGGUGUGAAAUCCCUGGGCUCAACCUGGGAACUGCAUUUGAUACUGGAGAGCUAGAGUGUGGUAGAGGAUGGUGGAAUUCCCGGUGUAGCGGUGAAAUGCGUAGAUAUCUGGAGGAACACCGGUGGCGAAGGCGGCAUCCUGGACCGGUAUUGACGCUGAGGCGCGAAAGCCAGGGGAGCAAACGGG
rnacentral:rRNA from 1 species